rnacentral:rRNA from 1 species
UACGUAGGGGGCAAGCGUUGUCCGGAAUUAUUGGGCGUAAAGCGCGUGUAGGCGGCUCGGUAAGUCUGCUGUGAAAGUCCAGGGCUCAACCCUGGAAUGCCGGUGGAUACUGUCGAGCUCGAGUCCGGAAGAGGCGAGUGGAAUUCCUGGUGUAGCGGUGAAAUGCGCAGAUAUCAGGAGGAACACCAAUGGCGAAGGCAGCGCGCUGGGACGGUACUGACGCUGAGACGCGAAAGCGUGGGGAGCAAACAGG